rnacentral:rRNA from 1 species
AAUGAACGCUGGCGGUAGGCCUAACACAUGCAAGUCGAACGGCAGCACAGUAAGAGCUUGCUCUUACGGGUGGCGAGUGGCGGACGGGUGAGGAAUACAUCGGCAACCACUUUUUCGUGGGGGAUAACGUAGGGAAACUUACGCUAAUACCGCAUAUGACCUACGGGUGAAAUCAGGGGAUCUUCGGACUUUGCGUGAUUGAAAGAGCCGAUGUCGGAUUAGCUAGUUGGCGGGGUAAAGGCCCACCAAGGCGACGAUCCGUAGCUGGUCUGACAGGAUGAUCAGCCACACUGGAACUGAGACACGGUCCAGACUCCUACGGGAGGCAGCAGUGGGGAAUAUUGGGCAAUGGGCGCAAGCCUGAUCCAGCCAUACCGCGUGGGUGAAGAAGGCCUUCGGGUUGUAAAGCCCUUUUGUUGGGAAAGAAAAGCAGCAGGUUAAUACCCCGCUGUUCUGACGGUACCCAAAGAAUAAGCACCGGCUAACUUCGUG